GAUGGAAGAACGCAGCGAAAUGCGAUAAGUAGUGUGAAUUGCAGAAUUCAGUGAAUCAUCGAAUCUUUGAACGCACAUUGCGCCCCUUGGUAUCCCGAGGGGCAUGCCUGUUCGAGCGUCAUUUCACCACUCAAGCCUGGCUUGGUGUUGGGCGACGUCCCCUUUGGGGACGCGCCUCGAAACGCUCGGCGGCGUGGCACCGGCUUUAAGCGUAGCAGAAUCUUUCGCUUUGGAAGUCGGGGCCCCGUCUGCCGGAAGACCUACUCGCAAGGUUGACCUCGGAUCAGGCAGGGAUACCCGCUGAACUUAAGCAUAUCAAUAAGCGGAGGA
rnacentral:misc_RNA from 1 species